rnacentral:lncRNA from 1 species
CCCGGGAAAAAACAAGAAACCCAUUCCAUCCUCCUUUCCAGGCCUUCGCCCGCCCGAGACCCGCCGUCUCCCGGAGUUCUCGGGGAUAACGGGCUCAGCUGCGAAGUUCUUCCUUGAGCAUCUGAAUUUGGUUGUGGUCAGAUGGUGGAUAAAGCUGGACUUAUCUGAAUCUUCUUUCGUCACAUGUCUGGAGUGUCUGGAGUGGCUGGAAAACAGCUUCCUCACAAGUCCCCCUAUGUUAUUGGGGACAGAAUUGUGCCCAGACAAGAAAAUGAUGUUUCCCAGCCUCCCCUGCAGCUGAGUGGGGACAACCAUUGAGAUGCCGUUGCAGGGCUCCGCUUUGGAGCGGGCAUUGGAGGAAUUCUUUGACCACCAAGCAGCCUCCAUACCUCCCUCCUACAUAACAGAGCCACCGAGAGGCUGUUUGCAUUCUGCCUGCUUUCUCUUUUUCCGUUGCAGUAGUUUAUUAAUUAGUGUGCAAAAAAUAAAAAGGAGGUAAUAACCUUAUUUAUGUGCUAGUCCACGUGUUCAGUGUGCUCAUUUUUUCUGCAGCCUGGCAUCGGGAACCGGAACGUUUGGCCCCAGGAGAGGGGGCCGGGACCCUGGGUGCCAGAAUCUUACAGUGCGGAGGCGACAGGCCAACGCAGUUCCUUCCUUUU